rnacentral:misc_RNA from 1 species
ACAUCACUAAACACAGAGUUGGGGUCCUCUGGCAGGCACGGUCAGCCGAAGCCAACGCCCGAAGGCGGCCUGCCAAAGCAACAAAGGUAGGUAGACACGGUUGUGGGAUUAGAACCCGAUUGACGAACAAAAACGGGGCGAUGAAUCUUUUUUCAUUAAUGAUCCUUCCGCAGGUUCACCUACGGAAACCUUGUUACGACUUUUACUUCCUCUAAAUGACCAAGA